UACGCUGGCGGCACGCCUUAUACAUGCAAGUCGAACGAAGUAGCAAUACUUAGUGGCAGACGGGUGAGUAACAUGUAGGUAUCUUCCCUUUGGUGAGGAAUAACACGAGGAAACUUGUGCUAAUACCUCAUAAGUCUUUACGGAGAAAGCUUUAUGCGCCGAAGGAUGAGCCUGCACUUGAUUAGUUUGUUGGUGGGGUAAUGGCCUACCAAGACUUUGAUCUAUAGCUGAUCUGAGAGGAUGAUCAGCCACAUUGGGACUGAGACACGGCCCAAACUCCUACGGGAGGCAGCAGUAGGGAAUAUUGCACAAUGGAGGAAACUCUGAUGCAGCGAUGCCGCGUGAGUGAAGAAGGCCUUUGGGUUGUAAAGCUCUUUCGUCGGGGAAGAAAAUGACUGUACCCGAAUAAGAAGGUCCGG
rnacentral:rRNA from 1 species